rnacentral:rRNA from 1 species
GGGGACUUUAAUGAAAUUCUGUUUGAUCAUGAGAAGGAAGGGGGAUACCCUCACCCAAAUCCAUAGAAGCAAGCUUUUAAGUAAGCUCUCAAUGAUUGUGAACUAGAGGAUAUGUGAUUCGUGGGAGAUAAAUUCACAUGGCAUAGGGGACAAAUCCGGGAAUGCCUUGAUCACGGAGUGUCUAACAGUCAGUGGUCAAUUGUAUCUGAAUGCAGUGAUCCGAAACCUUAA